GGUUGAUCCUGCCAGUAGUUAUAUGCUUGUCUCAAAGACUAAGCCAUGCAUGUCUAAGUAUAAACCAAUUUAUACGGUGAAACUGCGAAUGGCUCAUUAUAUCAGUUAUUGUUUAUUUGAUGAUACCCUACCACUUGGAUAACCGUGGUAAUUCUAGAGCUAAUACAUGCACGAAAUCUCGACUCGUUUACGCGGGAAGGGAUGUAUUUAUUAGAUAAAAACCAAUCCGAUAACAUUUUUUUGAUAUCGGUUCAACUUGGUGAUUCAUGAUAACUUUGCGAAUCGCAAGACUU
rnacentral:rRNA from 1 species